UACGUAGGGUGCAAGCGUUGUCCGGAAUUAUUGGGCGUAAAGAGCUCGUAGGCGGUUUGUCGCGUCUGCUGUGAAAACUCGGGGCUUAACUCCGGGCCUGCAGUGGGUACGGGCAGACUAGAGUGCGGUAGGGGAGACUGGAAUUCCUGGUGUAGCGGUGAAAUGCGCAGAUAUCAGGAGGAACACCGGUGGCGAAGGCGGCAUCCUGGACCGGCAUGACGCGUGAGGCGCGAAAGCCAGGGGAGGCAAACGGG
rnacentral:rRNA from 1 species